UACGUAGGGGGCAAGCGUUGUCCGGAUUUAUUGGGCGUAAAGAGCGUGUAGGCGGCCAGGUAGGUCAGCUGUGAAAACUCGAGGCUCAACCUCGAGACGUCGGUUGAAACCAUCUGGCUAGAGUCCGGAAGAGGAGAGUAGAAUUCCCGGUGUAGCGGUGAAAUGCGCAGAUAUCGGGAAGAACACCCGUGGCGAAGGCGGCUCUCUGGGACGGUACUGACGCUGAGACGCGAAAGCGUGGGGAGCGAACAGG
rnacentral:rRNA from 1 species